GGAGAAUCCAGCGAGGAUGACAAGUCUGAGCAGCAGUUCUCAUAGAAAGUACAAAUUCAGGUGCAUUGUACUGCAGCCAGUUUGGUGUGGAGGAAGCUGCACUGAAAGCACGAAAACCUUUCCAGAGGAAUUCCAAACCUGCAUGUCCCAGACCAUUAAGCUGUUGUUUAUUAUGCUGCUGUAUAAAGAAAAUACGGCUUGUUAUUUAAUGUAUGUGUCUCCAAGCAAAAUGAGACUAUGGCACUGAGACUUGCUGCUGGUUCUGAGUACUGAAGCAUCAAUUUGAGGUACAUGUGACAAAUAUAAACAAAGUCUUAAAUAAAACCCAAAAAUAGGGAUGUAGGCUGGCUAGC
ensembl:lncRNA